rnacentral:rRNA from 1 species
GGUCGUGAUGUCAGACACGGGAGUCUCGACUUCAGGGAAGAUGGCACAUUUACCUAUGUGCAUAACGGCGAUAAUGCCGAAGAGGACACGUUCAACUACCGCGCAUUUGAUGGUACGGAAUUCUCGCGCAGGACACGCGUCACCAUUGAGAUCGGGAACGCCGCGAACUCACCCCCAGUUGUGGU